CGUGCUUAACACAUGCAAGUCGAGGGGGGGUAGGGGCAACUCUACUCCACCGGCGAACGGGUGCGUAACACGUGAGCGACCUACCCUGGUGUGGGGGAUAGCCGGCCCAACGGCCGGGUAAUACCGCAUACGCUCGUUGAGGGGCAUCCCUUGGCGAGCAAAGCCUUCGGGCGCAUUGGGAGGGGCUCGCGGCCUAUCAGCUAGUUGGCGGGGUAACGGCCCACCAAGGCGGCGACGGGUAGCUGGUCUGAGAGGAUGGCCAGCCACAUUGGGACUGAGAGACGGCCCAGACUCCUACGGGAGGCAGCAGUGGGGAAUCUUGCGCAAUGGGCGAAAGCCUGACGCAGCGACGCCGCGUGCGGGAGGACGGCCUUCGGGUCGUAAACCGCUGUUGCCCGGGACGAAUGGCUCUUUAGAGAGACGUGACGGUACCGGGUGAGGAAGCACCGGCUAACUCCGUGCCAGCAGCCGCGGUAAUACGGAGGGUGCAAGCGUUAUCCGGAAUCAUUGGGUUUAAAGGGUCCGCAGGCGGAUUUAUAAGUCAGUGGUGAAAGCCUACAGCUUAACUGUAGAACUGCCAUUGAUACUGUAAGUCUUGAAUUUGGUCGAAGUGGGCGGAAUAUGACAUGUAGCGGUGAAAUGCAUAGAUAUGUCAUAGAACACCGAUAGCGAAGGCAGCUCACUAGGCCAACAUUGACGCUCAUGGACGAAAGCG
rnacentral:rRNA from 1 species